rnacentral:misc_RNA from 1 species
UAAUCCCAAACUAGUUGGGGUCAAGUAUAUAGAUCUUUUUGGCCAUUCAAUAACGUUAGAAACAAAUUCCACAUCAAUAUCCAAAAAUGUAAAUCCUAAGCUAAAUUAACAAUCAUAUUAAUCCUAAGUUAUUCCUUUUUUUAAAUGACUCAAUAUAAACAUGCAGUGUUUAUUUUUUGUUACAAAAUAUGGAUACUAAAUAUUUAUUCUUUCUUUGUUAAGUUCAAAAUUCACUCUCCCCCAAUAUCUAGUUGGCUAGGCUACAUCAUUCUAAGUCUCUCCUAGGUUCAUGACUAGAACAAUAGAAGGGGAAAUGGGGAAACAUGGGUCUUUCUGGUCUUCAAUGCCAUGCCCCAGCUGAUGCAAUUUGUCGAUGCAUUAUCUAGAAACCAUGAUUCAACUAUACCCAAAUAAAUAGUUCAUGUACUAAUAUUUUUAACCUGAGAACAGGCAUGAAUAAUUUUUUUUUUCUCACGAGGACUUCAAA